GGCGGUGCGGCACCCGGCGAAGGCCUUCAUGGCGUAUGGGGGGUUCGUGCACUUCGAC
rnacentral:SRP_RNA from 1 species